rnacentral:rRNA from 1 species
AGUGGGGAAUCUUGGACAAUGGGCGAAAGCCUGAUCCAGCAAUGCCGCGUGCGUGAAGAAGGCCUUCGGGUUGUAAAGCGCUUUUGUCUGGGAGCAAAUCCUGGCCUCUAAUACAGGUCGGGGAUGAGAGUACCAGAAGAAUAAGGACCGGCUAACUACGUGCCAGCAGCCGCGGUAAUACGUAGGGUCCAAGCGUUAAUCGGAAUUACUGGGCGUAAAGCGUCCGCAGGUGGCUUGAUAAGAUAGAGGUGAAAUCCCUGGGCUCAACCUAGGAAUUGCCUUUAUGACUGUCUCGCUAGAGUAUGGGAGAGGGGGGUGGAAUUCCACGUGUAGCAGUGAAAUGCGUAGAGAUGUGGAGGAACACCGAUGGCGAAGGCAACCCCCUGGCCUAAUACUGACACUCAUGGACGAAAGCGUGGGGAGCAAA